GGGACUGUGGCGGAAUGGCAGACGCUGUGGACUUAAAAUCCACUGCUGGGUAACUGGCGUGCGGGUUCGAGUCCCGCCUGUCCCA
rnacentral:tRNA from 1 species